AUAUGCAGCCAUAUCACACUGUAGCCCAAGACUGGUUGCCCACUGAAGCUAAGCAGGGCUGAGCCUGGUCAGUACCUGGAUGGGAGACCUCCUGGGAAAACUAGGUUGCUGCUGGAA
rnacentral:rRNA from 1 species